rnacentral:rRNA from 1 species
CGGUUCCCGGGCCUUGUACACACCCGCCCGUCACACCACGAAAGUCGGUAACACCCGAAGCCAGUGGCCCAACCGUAAGGAGGGAGCUGUCGAAGGUGGGAUCGGUGAUUGGGGUG